AACAGGAUUAGAUACCCUGGUAGUCCACGCCGUAAACGAUGUCGACUUGGAGGUUGUGCCCUUGAGGCGUGGCUUCCGGAGCUAACGCGUUAAGUCGACCGCCUGGGGAGUACGGCCGCAAGGUUAAAACUCAAAUGAAUUGACGGGGGCCCGCACAAGCGGUGGAGCAUGUGGUUUAAUUCGAUGCAACGCGAAGAACCUUACCCACUCUUGACAUCCAGAGAACUUAGCAGAGAUGCUUUGGUGCCUUCGGGAACUCUGAGACAGGUGCUGCAUGGCUGUCGUCAGCUCGUGUUGUGAAAUGUUGGGUUAAGUCCCGCAACGAGCGCAACCCUUAUCCUUUGUUGCCAGCGGUUAGGCCGGGAACUCAAAGGAGACUGCCAGUGAUAAACUGGAGGAAGGUGGGGAUGACGUCAAGUCAUCAUGGCCCUUACGAGUAGGGCUACACACGUGCUACAAUGGCAUAUACAAAGAGAAGCGACCUCGCGAGAGCAAGCGGACCUCAUAAAGUAUGUCGUAGUCCGGAUUGGAGUCUGCAGCUCGACUCCAUGAAGUCGGAAUCGCUAGUAAUCGUGGAUCAGAAUGCCACGGUGAAUACGUUCCCGGGCCUUGUACACACCGCCCGUCACACCAUGGGAGUGGGUUGCAAAAGAAGUAGGUAGCUUAACCUUCGGGAGGGCGCUUACCACUUUGUGAUUCAUGACUGGGGUGAAGUCGUAACAAGGUAACC
rnacentral:rRNA from 1 species